ACUCAAAUGAAUUGACGGGGGCCCGCACAAGCGGUGGAGCAUGUGGUUCAAUUCGACGCAACGCGAAGAACCUUACCAGGCCUUGACAUGGGGAGUAUGGAUUCCGGAAACGGGAUCCUUCAGUUCGGCUGGCUCCCACACAGGUGCUGCAUGGCUGUCGUCAGCUCGUGUCGUGAGAUGUUGGGUUAAGUCCCGCAACGAGCGCAACCCUCGUCUUCAGUUGCCAUCAGGUAAAGCUGGGCACUCUGAAGAAACCGCCGGUGAUAAGCUGGAGGAAGGUGGGGAUGACGUCAAGUCCUCAUGGCCCUUACGGCCUGGGCUACACACGUGCUACAAUGGCGGUGACAGUGGGAAGCGAAGGAGCGAUCCGGAGCCAAUCCCCAAAAGCCGUCUCAGUUCGGAUUGCACUCUGCAACUCGAGUGCAUGAAGGCGGAAUCGCUAGUAAUCGCGGAUCAGCACGCCGCGGUGAAUACGUUCUCGGGCCUUGUACACACCGCCCGU
rnacentral:rRNA from 1 species